CUUUGGCAGCAUCUCACACAGGGGUGUCCAAAACCUUUUGCCACAUUGCCCAAAAUCAUUGAGGCAAAAGAA